UGCAAGUCGUACGCACUGGCCCAACUGAUUGAUGGUGCUUGCACCUGAUUGACGAUGGAUCACCAGUGAGUGGCGGACGGGUGAGUAACACGUAGGUAACCUGCCCCGGAGCGGGGGAUAACAUUUGGAAACAGAUGCUAAUACCGCAUAACAACAAAAGCCACAUGGCUUUUGUUUGAAAGAUGGCUUUGGCUAUCACUCUGGGAUGGACCUGCGGUGCAUUAGCUAGUUGGUAAGGUAACGGCUUACCAAGGCGAUGAUGCAUAGCCGAGUUGAGAGACUGAUCGGCCACAAUGGAACUGAGACACGGUCCAUACUCCUACGGGAGGCAGCAGUAGGGAAUCUUCCACAAUGGGCGCAAGCCUGAUGGAGCAACACCGCGUGAGUGAAGAAGGGUUUCGGCUCGUAAAGCUCUGUUGUUGGAGAAGAACGUGCGUGAGAGUAACUGUUCACGCAGUGACGGUAUCCAACCAGAAAGUCACGGCUAACUACGUGCCAGCAGCCGCGGUAAUACGUAGGUGGCAAGCGUUAUCCGGAUUUAUUGGGCGUAAAGCGAGCGCAGGCGGUUGCUUAGGUCUGAUGUGAAAGCCUUCGGCUUAACCGAAGAAGUGCAUCGGAAACCGGGCGACUUGAGUGCAGAAGAGGACAGUGGAACUCCAUGUGUAGCGGUGGAAUGCGUAGAUAUAUGGAAGAACACCAGUGGCGAAGGCGGCUGUCUGGUCUGCAACUGACGCUGAGGCUCGAAAGCAUGGGUAGCGAACAGGAUUAGAUACCCUGGUAGUCCAUGCCGUAAACGAUGAGUGCUAGGUGUUGGAGGGUUUCCGCCCUUCAGUGCCGGAGCUAACGCAUUAAGCACUCCGCCUGGGGAGUACGACCGCAAGGUUGAAACUCAAAGGAAUUGACGGGGGCCCGCACAAGCGGUGGAGCAUGUGGUUUAAUUCGAAGCUACGCGAAGAACCUUACCAGGUCUUGACAUCUUGCGCUAACCUUAGAGAUAAGGCGUUCCCUUCGGGGACGCAAUGACAGGUGGUGCAUGGUCGUCGUCAGCUCGUGUCGUGAGAUGUUGGGUUAAGUCCCGCAACGAGCGCAACCCUUGUUACUAGUUGCCAGCAUUAAGUUGGGCACUCUAGUGAGACUGCCGGUGACAAACCGGAGGAAGGUGGGGACGACGUCAGAUCAUCAUGCCCCUUAUGACCUGGGCUACACACGUGCUACAAUGGACGGUACAACGAGUUGCAAGCUCGCGAGAGUAAGCUAAUCUCUUAAAGCCGUUCUCAGUUCGGACUGUAGGCUGCAACUCGCCUACACGAAGUCGGAAUCGCUAGUAAUCGCGGAUCAGCAUGCCGCGGUGAAUACGUUCCCGGGCCUUGUACACACCGCCCGUCACACCAUGGGAGUUUGUAACGCCCAAAGUCGGUGGCCUAACCUUUAUGGAGGAGCCGCCUAAG
rnacentral:rRNA from 1 species